rnacentral:rRNA from 1 species
UUUAUACUGUGAAACUGCGAAUGGCUCAUUAAAUCAGUUAUCGUUUAUUUGAUAGUACCUUACUACAUGGAUACCUGUGGUAAUUCUAGAGCUAAUACAUGCUAAAAACCUCGACUUCGGAAGGGGUGUAUUUAUUAGAUAAAAAACCAACGCCCUUCGGGGCUCCUUGGUGAAUCAUAAUAACUAAGCGAAUCGCAUGGCCUUGCGCCGGCGAUGGUUCAUUCAAAUUUCUGCCCUAUCAACUUUCGAUGGUAGGAUAGUGGCCUACCAUGGUGGCAACGGGUAACGGGGAAUUAGGGUUCGAUUCCGGAGAGGGAGCCUGAGAAACGGCUACCACAUCCAAGGAAGGCAGCAGGCGCGCAAAUUACCCAAUCCCGACACGGGGAGGUAGUGACAAUAAAUACUGAUACGGGGCUCUUUUGGGUCUCGUAAUUGGAAUGAGUACAAUCUAAAUCCCUUAACGAGGAACAAUUGGAGGGCAAGUCUGGUGCCAGCAGCCGCGGUAAUUCCAGCUCCAAUAGCGUAUAUUAAAGUUGUUGCAGUUAAAAAGCUCGUAGUUGAACCUUGGGUCUGGCUGGCCGGUCCGCCUCACCGCGAGUACUG